UGCAGCCUAGUCAAAUUCGGUGCAUCCUCUUCAGUGGGCUGUACUGGCCAAAUGGCUGCCAUAGGAAAGUGGGUAGUCCAUGGGCCCCGUCAUCUUAUAAAGUGGAUACUGGGGAUAAUUAAUGGCUAUGCACAAUA